rnacentral:sRNA from 1 species
CUGUAUAUAGUCCUUGAAUUUUUACUGUUAUAAAAUAUCCCUUGGGUUGGAGGCCAUAGCACAUAACUCAGCCGUGGUGGAGCAUCUGUCCAGGGGGUGCGAGGCUCUGGGGUAAUAGAAACACAAUAACUUAUAAGCUAUAUUUAGAAGCAUCUGAGCUGUGAUGCCACAAGUAAUCCUCGGUAGAUUAGGACAGCCACUCGAUCAGAGUGCCUGGGGACUCGACCAUGGCAGCUGGGCCAAACCUGAGAGGCCAUGUGGGCGGGACACAGAAACUGCGACCCCCUCUCUGACCUGGCAUUAAAACACACGAGGCUGCCAGCCUCCACUGGAAAAACCUCCACACCUUGGCCAAACAUUUGGUAAAAAGUGUUGGACAUCACUUUCUGGUCGUGAAAGGGACACGGAUAUCCUCACGAUACGAUGGAUGUUGCAGGAAACUCUGGGAGCUGACUCAAGCGGGCAGCUCGGCUCUGGCGAGUCUCCGCCCACAAGCUGCCACUGCCCGGGACAGAACCAUCUGAAAAGCCUAUUUUUAUUUUGGGGAGGGAAGAUUCUCGAGACCUCUGCUGAGCUGUCCAGGCGCCUGAAGAGAAAGUAUUUUCCAGUUGCUUUUAACGAAGGUCAGGUAACACAUGUUCUCGGGCCUGGAUCAUGUUGCAUGAUUAAAAAUAGGGACUGCUUAUAUUUUCCGACUUAAGAAACUAGAAAUCUCUACCCUGUUAGGCCCCCAAACUUUGUUUUACUGUACAAAGUCUUUUUAAAUAUUAACCAAUACCUACUUUAUACACACACACAUGUAAUACACAUGCACACACACAUAUAUAUAUAAUACACAUGCACACACACACACACACGCAUAUAAUACACAUGCACAUGCCUACAGAUUGCAUUAAGCCCUAUUAAAUAUUAACUUCUGACUGGUCAAUAAUUGCCCUGGUUUUCCAGCUCUAACAACAGACUGUAAUUUGGUUUGACUCACUAAUAUUAACAUAUGGUGACACCUCACAUGCCAAGGUUAUUUUUGGAACCAGAAAAUCAAAACCUGAGCAUACUUCGGAACCAGUUAACCUGCUCUGUCAGAUUGACACACGCAGCAAGCCUCCAGUACGUGGACUGCUCCUGUUGUUUUAAUUUUAUUUAUUGUGAGUGGUACCUAUGUGUGUAUGUGUGUGUGCGUGUGUGUGCGUGUGUGUGCGUGUGUGUGCGUGUGUGUGCGUGUGUGUGCGUGUGUGUUGCGUGUGGACAUCAAAGCACAACUUUAGGGAGUUGGUUCUCUCCUUCCACCAUUGUUGAGGCAAAUCGCUCAGACCUCUCUUGGUUCUGUGCUGUGGACUUUGGGCUAGCUGGACUUUGGGGUUUUUCUACAGUAAGUAUCCAUUUCCUAUCCUAACAUCCCAUCAUAGAAGUGCUGGGACUGUAGAUGCAGAACCUUGAGAGUCCCCCACCCCCACCCCUUCUUCCCUUCUUCUCUUUCUCAGACAGAGUCUCACUAUGUAAACCCGGCUAACUAGAACUCGACACCCACUAUGUAGACCAGGCUUGCUUCUGCCUCACAAGAGCUGGAAUUAAAGUUUACUUUGAGACAAAGUCUCAUGUAGACCAGGAUGGCCUCAAACAUGCUAUGAAGCCGAAGAUGACCUCAAAUUCAAAUUCUGAUCCUCCCGUCUCUCUCCCUUCCCCCCAACCCCCAAUGCUACGGCUACAGGCUUGUGCCACUGUGCCCAGUUUCCUCCGAAGUGCUGGAGUUGAACCCAAGACUUAGUGCAUGGGAGGAAGGCGUUCUUCCACAAGCGAAGGAUGGCUUUGAACCUUUAAACUUCCUGACCCUGCUUUCCGAGGGCUGGGAUUCCGUGGAGGCGCCACCACAGCCAGUUUGUGUGGUACUCAGAAUGGAACCCGGGGCCUCCCGUGCGCCAGGCAACGCUUUACCAACUGAGCUACAGCCCGGUUUGGUGGAAUCCACAAAGAAGGAAAAGAAUGUGCUAUAAGAGAUGUCACAGACCACCUUCCCCGUACUCACCCGACCCAUGCACUCAGAUGUCAGAGACGCAUCAUGUACAUGUGCUACCCACAGAGCCCAGAAGGGGCAUUCGAUCCCUUAGGGCUGGAGUUGCAGACAGAUGUAAUCGGCUACCGGGCUGCUUGGAAUGAAACCCAGGUCCUCUGGAAGAGCAGCCGGUGCCUUUAAACACGGAGAUGUCUCUCCAUCCUCGACAGAGAGUGACAUCUAAGAGGCAUAUGCAAAGACCUGGCUGGAGCUCAGCUCCUGGGGCACUUGCCCGGCACACACAGGGCCUAGGUUCAGUCAGCAAUGAAACAAACAGAAGACGCUGAUGAGUACCUGUAGGUGCAGGAAGAUCCGAAUUUUAAGGCUGGCUUCGGUGACUUAAAUCCCACUUUCAACAAAAGUUAAUAAAAUAACAAAAAGCA